GCGAGAAAAACUUUAGCAAUGUGCGAAAGACACGACAAGGUUAAUCCGAGUGAUUCCUGCUAAAAGGAAUCUUUUGUUAGUUGUAAAAACCAACUGAUGAAUAAAGGGGUGGGCAAGUUCUGGUGUCAGCCGCCGCGGUAAAACCAGCACCUCAAGUGGUCAGGAGGAUUAUUGGGCCUAAAGCAUCCGUAGCCUGUCCUGUAAGUUUCCGGUUAAAUCCAUUUGCUCAACAAAAUGGGGCUGCCGAAAAAUACUGCAGGACUAGGGAGUGGGAGAGGUAGACGGUACUCGGUAGAAGGGGUAAAAUCCUUUGAUCUAUUGAUGACCACCUGUGGCGAAGGCGGUCUACCAGAACACGUUCGACGGUGAGGGAUG
rnacentral:rRNA from 2 species